rnacentral:rRNA from 1 species
CCUACGGGAGGCAGCAGUGGGGAAUAUUGCUCAAUGGGGGAAACCCUGAUGCAGCGACGCCGCGUGGGGGAUGAAGGGUUUAGGAGUGUAAAGCCCUUUUGGUAGGGAAGAAUAUGACGGUACCUGACCAAUAAGCCCCGGCUAACUUCGUGCCAGCAGCCGCGGUAAUACGGAGGGGGCAAGCGUUAUACGGAAUUACUGGGCGUAAAGGGUGAGUAGACGGGAAGAUAAGCCAGGUGUGAAAGCCUGGGGCCCAACCGCAGAACUGCAUUUGAAACUGGGAGUCUGGAGUAGAGGAGAGGUAGGCGGAAUUCGUGGUGUAGCGGUGAAAUGCGUAGAUAUCAGGAGGAACACCGAUUGCGAAGGCGGCCUACUGGACUGUGACUGACAUUGAUGCUCGAAAGCGUGGGGAGCAAACAGGAUUAGAUACCCUGGUAGUC